GUGGGGAAUAUUGGACAAUGGGCGAAAGCCUGAUCCAGCCAUGCCGCGUGUGUGAAGAAGGUCUUCGGAUUGUAAAGCACUUUAAGUUGGGAGGAAGGGCAGUAAGUUAAUACCUUGCUGUUUUGACGUUACCGACAGAAUAAGCACCGGCUAACUUCGUGCCAGCAGCCGCGGUAAUACGAAGGGUGCAAGCGUUAAUCGGAAUUACUGGGCGUAAAGCGCGCGUAGGUGGUUUUGUAAGUUGGAGGUGAAAGCCCCGGGCUCAACCUGGGAACUGCCUCCAAAACUGCAUGACUAGAGUACGGUAGAGGGUAGUGGAAUUUCCUGUGUAGCGGUGAAAUGCGUAGAUAUAGGAAGGAACACCAGUGGCGAAGGCGACUACCUGGACUGAUACUGACACUGAGGUGCGAAAGCGUGGGGAGCAAACAGGAUUAGAUACCCGGGUAGUCC
rnacentral:rRNA from 1 species